rnacentral:tRNA from 1 species
AAGGGAGACCUAAUUCAGGUAUGGGACGAAAAAAAAGUAGUCGCUACCAAGAAUCAAUCCCAAAAGGUCGGAGCGAGGUAUGAGGCUUUCAAACUAGGUUCUGGGUUCAAACAAGACCUGAAUCAGGAACAAGGGCUAUUAGCUCAGGUGGUUAGAGCGCACCCCUGAUAAGGGUGAGGUCCCUGGUUCGAGUCCAGGAUGGCCCACCUGCACAGGUGGCAAAAACAAGAGAAGCUCCGAAUCAGCACCUUAUCUUAUAUACAUAUAUAAGAGAGAAUGCUGGCUCUGAGUAAAGAGUCCAGAGGAACCUUGAAAACUGCAUAGAGCUAGGUGAAAAAGCCAAAAAAGAAGACCGCAA